UACGUAGGGGGCAAGCGUUUGUCCGGAUUUAUUGGGCGUAAAGGGUGCGUAGGCGGCGCGGUAAGUCGGGUGUGAAAUCUUGGAGCUUAACUCCGAAACUGCAUUCGAUACUGCCGUGCUUGAGGACUGGAGAGGAGACUGGAAUUUACGGUGUAGCGGUGAAAUGCGUAGAUAUCGUAAGGAAGACCGAGUGGCGAAGGCGGGUCUCUGGACAGUUUCCUGACGUGAGGCACGAAGGCCAGGGGAGCAAACGGG
rnacentral:rRNA from 1 species